AAGGCUCAAAUGAUUAGUUGUGAUGAAUCGAUUAUUAAAAUUCUUGUCAGCUAAUUUAGUAAAUAAUCGUUAACUGGAGCAUUCAGACUCUAAAAAGGCCAAUUACUGAAUAAUCAAUACAGCUGAUGAUAAUUAAAUCAGAUCUUUAGUUUCUCACAGGAUGUCGGUCACAUGACCGCUGAAGCAGCAGGUCAGGAUGGAGUUCACUUCCUGUUGCAGCGCCACCUGCUGGUCCCUCUGCUUCUGGUUCUGACCAACAGGUGGAGCUGCAGCUCCGACCCGCUGCUCAGGUGGACCCAGAGAGUGUGUUACUGUGUGUGUGUUACUGUGUGUGUAUUAGUGUGUGUAUUAGUGUGUGUGUGUGAGGGGGUUCUGCUCAUCCCUCGUUCAGUCGGUCAGAGCAGCAGCUGAAUCGAUGACAUCAUCCAUCCCCGCGGUGACAGAUGAUGCUGCGGAGGAGGAGGGGGUCGUUGCCGUGGUGAUAUCCCUGCCUGCGUGUGAUUGGCCGAGGCUGGCGGUGAUGUCACACAUCUCCAAGCUGCUGUGCCGAUCUUUGAACAGAGGCAGAGAUGGAGGCAGGCGGACGGAGGGGCAGCUUCAGCGCCAAUGAACGGAGAGAUGCUGCCCGGUUCUGAUCCGCAGCUCAACCACUCACCCUGCUGCCAGAACCAGAACCUGGAGGGGAUGCCGUUCGGGUGUCAGAGCUGAAUCUGUAGAGGGGAGGUCGUUUCACCUGAGGGCCGUCAUGGAGUGGGAGCAGCGGGGCAGAACCCGCUCGGAACCGCUGCUGGGCCGAGACCAGAUCCUGUGCUACAUUAACAUGCAGAGACCAGGUAGGGCCUGCGGAGGGCGCUCUGAUGGGUUCUACUGGGCUCUGGACCGGGUGACGCAGCAUCAGCUCUGCUGUCGUCAUGGUAACCGGCUCAUUUGGCUGAUGUCAUCGUUUAUCAGGAUUCCCCAAAUAAACAUUUCAUCUGGUUUUACAGCUUAAAGAAGGAAUCAAACUUUUCACUGUUGUUCCAUAAAAAAGCCUUAAGACGCCCACUUCCUGUCUCACUUCCUGUCUCACUUCCUGUCCCACUUCCUCAAACUUGACCACGAAAUCUGAUUCUGGUGGAAAAUGUCAGAUUAUUUUAAAUAUUGGUGAGUUUAUCACUAUGAAGCAGAAACGUUACAGUAACUGAAGCCGGAAUAUUUUCAUGUUUUACAUCUCAGAGCGACGGUUUGGUGACGAACAGAGCAGGACGGCUAGCAUCCAGCUAGCAUCUAGUUAGCGUCCAGCUAGCGUCUAGUUAGCGUCCAGCUAGCGUCUAGUUAGCGUCCAGCUAGCGUCUAGUUAGCGUCCAGCUAGCAUCUAGUUAGCGUCCAGCUAGCGUCUAGUUAGCGUCCAGCUAGCUGUCCUCUUGGCAUCAAACCGGCCUCAUGUCAACAUCUGAUGACAUCACUCUGUGUUUCCUGAUUGAUUUGCUCCAGACGUGUAGACAGAAUGGCGACUUUGCGGCAUUUUACAGUUUGCUCAGAAUUGGCGUGAGAUCUGGAUGUUACCAUGGUUACUAAGGAUUCAGAAAGGAGGAAGUGCCUCUGGCUUUCUCCUCCAAUCAGAGCUCAGAUCUUCUUAAUGUCCAGAAGAGACGAUUUAUCGGCUGGUUACCAUGGUUACUACUCAGAAUAACUUCUGUAAAGAUCCGAGUGUCACUUCCUGUCUGAAACCAACAACCUGGUUGAAUAAAACAUUUGAAUCCUGUUCUGUUCUGUGUGGACCAGUCAAAGUAAAACAGUUUUUAGUGAUCCAGCGGGUCAGAACAUCAGAUGAACAGUUUCCUCUGGCUGUUUUUAGAGCAAAUUUCUGUUUCAGAACGAGUCGUUCUAAAGGUCCCG